CACACACGCUUACUUCUACAGUCUCAAACUUUUUGCUUUCAUUCUGUAGAACAGAGACGAAGACAGACUGAGACUGAUGUUGGACAAACAGGACAAAGAAGACAGCAGGAUGGGAAGAAUGAUUCUGAUGUUCUGUAUACAGUUAUAAAUCCACAAACACCAUCCAACAAAGAAGAAAAGGAUGAUGUGAUGUACUCGACUGUAGUCCACAGUAACACCAUUACAUCAGUACACACUCCAGUGAUAUCAGGGGAAACCACAGUGUAUGCCAGUAUCCAAACUA